rnacentral:RNase_P_RNA from 1 species
GAAGUUUGACAGACAAUCGCCGGCGAUUCUUACGAAACGCGGGAGGAAAGUCCGGGCUCCACAGGGCAGGGUGCUGGAUAACGUCCAGUCAACGCGAGUUGAAGGAUAGUGCCACAGAAAUGGACCGCCGAUGGCGCGCAAGCGCACAGGCAAGGGUGGAACCGUGGUGUAAGAGACCACGAGGGUUUAUGGUGACAUAUUCCCUGGUAAACCCCACUUGGAGCAAGACCUAAUGGAACGCAGCAAGCUCGACUUGCAGCCUUAGCCCGAGGCGCGUUCGGGUUGGUCGCUUGAGCAGGGCAGCAAUGUCCGGCCUAGAUAGAUGAUUGUCACUUUACGGGUGGGAGGCUUGUUACCGUUAACACCACCGGAAGUACAGAACCCGGCUUAAGGCAAACUUCUCGU